GAUAAUAAUAAUAAUAAUUAUAAUAAUAAUUAUAAUAAUAUUAAUAUUAAAACAAAUAGAAAGAGAGGUCGAGUAAAUUCAGGGUCACGGAGCUCCUUUUCUCCGGCCCACCGUUUCGAGACUGAAGAGCUCGCUAACUCUCUCUUUGAGACCAGGUGAACGGCGCCGUGAGCUAACCUACCUAAGAGGGAGCCUUCUCCUUCAUCAAGAAAUGAGAGAGACAGAGAGAAAGAGAGAGGACGAGAAAGAAAGAAAGAGAGAGAGAGAGAGAGAAAGGAACAGAGAGAGAUAGAGAGAAAGAAAGAAAGGCAAGGAAAAAAGGAAAGAGCCGUGAACGUAGGCGCGCAUAAAAGGUGGAGGAGACGGUCGGUUAUCCUCGCCUUUUAGCCGAAGAUUACCGAGACGUACUUCGGCUUUCGAUUUCUGACGAUCUUACUCGAAGAAGAAUAUAACUCCAAGAAUAGUCCUCGAGGAUGUGAACGAAACUGUAACCGUGACAUUAUCUAGUGUGACGUGAAUCCCGAUGAUAAUAAAAAAAACUAUCAAUUAAACGAAGGGAAGCAAAGACGUGAAUGUAGCGUUCGUGGCCGAACAACCGUCAGACUCGGUUUCAAUGGCGAUUACUCGCGCACGCUAGAAGAAAUUUGUGUUAUUAACAAGAAGAAGGUAUACUUGGCCUCUUCGAGAGCGUCUUAUUUGACAAAGGAAAGGAAACGUAAGAGAAAGAUAAAGAGAAAGAGAGAGAGAGAAAAAGAGAGAGAGACAGAGAGAGAGAGAGAGAGAAAGAGAAAGACAGAUAGACAGAAAGAAGGAAAGGAUUCUUUAUAUUGCAUAGAAUCUGCACGAUCUCUUAGAAAUCACGAUUUCUUUAAAUUACAGUAUACUUAUUGUUGAUGGUGCUUCAACAUUUAUUAAAAAAAAAAAAAAAAAAAAAAUAAUAAAAAAAGCGAAGA